ACGCGCGGAACCUUACCAGGUCUUGACAUCCUUCGCUACUUCUAGAGAUAGAAGGUUCCCCUUCGGGGGACGAAGUGACAGGUGGUGCAUGGUUGUCGUCAGCUCGUGUCGUGAGAUGUUGGGUUAAGUCCCGCAACGAGCGCAACCCUUGAUCUUAGUUGCCAGCAUUUAGUUGGGCACUCUAAGGUGACUGCCGGUGACAAACCGGAGGAAGGUGGGGAUGACGUCAAAUCAUCAUGCCCCUUAUGACCUGGGCUACACACGUGCUACAAUGGACGGUACAAACGGUUGCCAACCCGCGAGGGGGAGCUAAUCCGAUAAAACCGUUCUCAGUUCGGAUUGUAGGCUGCAACUCGCCUACAUGAAGCCGGAAUCGCUAGUAAUCGCGGAUCAGCAUGCCGCGGUGAAUACGUUCCCGGGCCUUGCACACACUGCCCGU
rnacentral:rRNA from 1 species